CAGAAGUACAUUAGGGCAAAUAUGUGGCAACCGUAUUUUCCCCGAAGCUUUUUUCUCCGAUUUUUCUUUUACUCCCAAGAAAGAAACAAUAAAAUGUAUCAACACUGGCUGUCGACUGAAACUUGCAAUCUUUCCCAGAAAACAAACGAGAAAAAAGCUUCUCUUUUUCUUGCAAUACUUGAUGGCUCAAUUCACAGCACAAGGGCGCUUGAAAUUGCUAUUUGAUGGUGGUGGAUUUCGCCUUAAGCUUCUUGGCAAUGGUUUCGUUGGUGGGUUAAGAUCAUUUCAGCUCCAAAAGGGAAAGCUCAAGUAUAUUGGUUCACGUACAAGGCUCCAUGCUUCUUCUUUUAGCAAGAAAUCCGAGCAUUUCAAUGCGGAGGCAAGUCUCAGUGCAAGGCAAGAGAGUGAGAGUGAUGAGAGUGAAGAUUAUGACAAUCAGUUUGAGACAGAUGAUUUGGCUUGCUUUAGAGGUCUGGUCUUGGAUAUCUCUUAUAGGCCUGUCAAUGUUGUCUGCUGGAAGAGAGCUAUAUGUUUGGAAUUCAUGGAGAAGGCUGAUGUACUAGAAUAUUAUGAUCAAACUGUAAAUUCCCCAAGUGGAUCCUUCUACAUACCAGCUGUAUUAAGGGUUCCACAUCUGCUGCAGGUUGUUAAGAGAAGAAGGAUAAGAAGUAAUCUUAGUCGUAAGAACAUAUUAUUUUGGGACAACUAUACUUGUCAGUAAGUAGUACGCUGACCCUCAUUUCAAUUUUAGUCCAUUGACGUGAAAAGUAAACACUCGUGCUGUAUCAGAAAACAUUUUCAUUUUUAUCUGCUUACUUAGAUGACAAUUUGAUCUCCAUAAGUCACAUUUGACAAUGUAUUAACUGCAUGAAACAAAGUCAUCUUUGGUUGUUUACUUGUGUAUUAGAAAAUUUUACAAUUGAAUUGCAUUUGCUUACUGUGUUGCAGAACCAAUUACAAGUUAUUGGGCAUUGAUUGACAAUUGUAUUUGUGAUUAUGCUCAUAGUUGUUUCAAAUUCUGAAAUUUAAUUCUGGGUGGAAAUCCCAAUGAAAUGGAAAAGUGAUAGUUUCUUGUCUUCUCAAGCUUGUUAAAGAUUUAUUUUGGGUUUUUUUUUCUUCUUUUUUUGAAGAUAACUUGUCUUGAUUCUAAUGGUUUGCCUCUUUCUUUUUCAUUAACUCUUUCCCUGGUGUAUUAUUGACCAUAUAGCUUCUUGUCUUCUCAAGCUUGCUAAAGAUUUAUUCUCUUAAUAAUUGAACCUUCUUAGUGGGCAGUGGGAGGUCCAAGCAAUUCACUCCCUCCUUGGAUAGAGAUGCUGGCCAACUUUCUCAGCUCACCUAUCUUCAUCUCUAGAGCAGUGUCCAUCACUUUCUUCUUUCUUGGUCUUUUACCAUUGGUUUUAUAGCUCUUCUUCUCUUCUACUACUCUCUCUUAUCUUAUGCAUAGCAAGAGAUGACAAAGCACAACUUUUGGGCUCAUAUUGUGCAUGGUUAUUAACCCCAAUAGUUUAUCCAAACAGAGGUUCGUAUCCAUGAAAAACUCCUUCUGGACCAUGCACUAGAAUAAAUGGGUGUAAGAACAUGUACAAGCUAGUCUCAGUCAAGCCUAUAGCUUUCUCUCCCUGCUUUCACUAAGAUAUCACUCUGAGAGGAGCAGCAAAAUUUUGUUUCUAACCUCUCGCAAAUUUGUGUGCACCCUGCUCUAUUGUUAAAUGCCAAGUGGCUUUUAAUAUGGUGUUAUUGACCGCCCUUCCAAGGAAUUACGAAGCCUCUCUUAACCAAAUGAACUUCUUAGUUUGAAUCCUAAAUUCUGAACUGUAACUUCUGUUUCAUUCUUCAGGAUUUUUCAAGGCCUUCAAAAGUUCUAAAAAAAAAGGCUUUGGUGAUUGAUUCAUUUACUCUUAAUGAAUAUUCUAUUGAUGUGUUUUGCUUGGGAGAUGAAGAUUCAAAGGUGCAUGGAGAUGUGAUGCAUCAUUGAUGAUGUUAUAAUUUGUUUGCCCUUUUGCCCCACUCCCUCCCUCCCUCUUUUUUCAAUCUA
rnacentral:misc_RNA from 1 species